rnacentral:rRNA from 1 species
AUGGAGACACUGGCGAGCGUCAUGCGGCGGGACAACCGCCGCUUCAAGCCCCCGCCCUCCUCCUCCUCCGCCGCCGCCUCCGCCGGCAGGGCCCCCCUCGUCAUGGCCUUCCUCGCCUGCCUCGCCUGGGUGUACGUCGCCGGCCGGCUAUGGCAGGACGCGCAGACCCGGGCGGUCCUCUCCGGCCUCCUGCAGAAGAGCACCAGCAAUCUCCCCAAGGAGAUCUCGGUGGACGACAAGCUGAGGGACCUCGGAUGCACUGGGAUUGGGAGGAAGAUCGCCGAGGCGGAGAUGGACAUUGCCAAGGCCAAGAGCGAGGGCUACUUGUGGGGGAAUGGGACUGGUGGUACUGGUACUGAGGGUUCCAGCAGGAAGAAGUUCCUUGCGGUCAUUGGAGUUUACACUGGCUUUGGCUCCCGGCUCAAGAGGAACACCUUCCGCGGCUCCUGGAUGCCCAGAGGUGAUGCUUUAAAGACGCUUGAGGAAAAGGGUGUGGUUAUUCGUUUUGUUAUUGGCCGAAGUCCUAAUCGAGGUGAUAGCUUGGACCGUAAUAUCAAUGAAGAAAACAGAAAGACAAAUGAUUUCUUGAUUCUGGAAAGUCACGAGGAAGCUGCAGAGGAAUUACCUAAAAAAGUUAAGUUUUUCUUCAGUGCAGCAAUAGAAGCUUGGGAUGCAGAGUUCUACGUCAAGAUUGACGAUAACAUUAAUCUUGACUUGGCUGGGUUAAUUGAGAUGCUUAACGUCCGUCGAGGUAGCCAUGGGUUGUACAUGGGCUGCAUGAAAUCAGGAGCUGUCGUUAGUGAAGAGGAGCAACAAUGGUAUGAACCUGAAUGGUGGAAAUUUGGAGAUUCAAGGACGUAUUUUCGCCAUGCUGCUGGUUCUUUAUUUAUCCUCUCAAACAAUUUGGCUCGGUACAUCAACAUAAACAGUGCAUCGCUGCAGAGCUAUGCGCAUGAUGACAUAUCAGUUGGUUCAUGGAUGAUGGGGCUUAAUGCCACUUACGUUGAUGACGACCGUCUGUGUUGCCUCAGUGCAGUACAAGAGAAAGUAUGUUCGUUUGGAUGA